GGGAUGUGCAGCUAAUGCCACCUGGGGCUCUGGAGGGGAGAUAGGUGCCUUCAAGGUGGGAGGGCAGGGGUGGAGCAGACAGAGGUACUGGGGUCCACCCUGAGGAGGCACGACUAGUCCUCGACCCUAAGAGGGGUGCUUGGUGCCCAUGGGGGCCAGAGCACCAACCCCCUCUGUGCUGGAGAGACUUGGUCCAGCUUGGAGGCUGUAGAGGAGGAUGGACCAGGGUGGACCUGGCAGAGGAGUCCGGCCACCCAGGUGGGAACUGCUGAGAGACAAGGCAGCACGCGGAGGGCAGCUCCAGGAUGUCCAUAGCAGACCGUCCAGCUCCCACAGCAGAGGGUGGAGGUAGACAGAGAAGCUGACUCUGCAGAGGGACGGGGGUGCAAGACACAUGGUCAGGAGGCUCUGAGAGCUGGGGCAGCCUGGGACUUCCCAGCGGUCAGGCGACUGCUGGAAACCCAGCCUGUUCCUCACGGCGGAACGCGGUGACGCAGGCCGGUUCCCAGCUGGGGAACCCAAGCUCCAGGUCAGGACGUCUGCCAGCUCGGACAUCUCAGCUGCGUCUCAAGCUCACCUUUCCGGAGACCCUUGGUCCUCCUCUCCCUGCUUGUGCCUUGGCAGGAACUGGGAGCCAGGGACCAGCCCCCCCACCUGCCACCUCUGGGCUCCAGGAUCCCACCUGCAGGACAUUCCCCAACCCCCUGGCCCCACCUCUGCUGCUCUGCUCUCUGGAGUCCCAGCAGUCGGCUGCGACUCCAGCCACACGCUGCCCUCUCCCUGACCUCAGGGGCCUCUCGGGAGCUCCUGUCCCUGGCCCCUGGGCUCUCCUCUGCUCAGGCCCCACUGCCACGCCCGCUGCAGGGCCUGCACACUCCCCUUGGGUGAACACCCAUGCUCCCGCAACCCAGGUCGGGACACAGCCGUGACCCUAGGUGCCAGACACGACCUCCUCACACGGAGGCCCAGGCCUUCCUGCCCAGGGGGACCUGAGAAGAGGUUCCAGAGCCAAGCAGCUGCUCCACACCACCCCAGGCAGCUCUGGGCGCAGGUGGAGGCGCUGGAAGGGACCCCAGGUCAGGCUCCUCCUGCCUCCUUACUAGACGUGUGGACUCCUGAGCUGUGGACAGGACCUGGGCACAGGGGAGAGCCACAGAUCGCUGCAGCAAGGAAGACUUUUUGGGCUUCGGGGCCCCUGUACUCCGAGUUGGGCAAGCACAGCCAGAUGCCCUGUGCCCAGGGGGACGGUGUCCCUGUGGACAGAGGAAGAGAAAGCCGCAGGAGGAGGGCCAGGACAGCACAGAGGGGAGUGUCCCCGACCAGCUGCACAGCAGGGACCCACCGGAGGCGGACUGUGGCCUGGGACUCCCCGAACGCUGUCAGGGUACUGCCCACUGGGCAGUGAUUUGGAGGUAAGUAGGGAAGGUUUAUAAAUCGUGGCACAGUCCGGUCCAGGAAGAUUCAUGGGAGCCAAGGGGUGUGUGCAGGAAUGCCCACUACUGCCCAGGGCAGCACAGGACCCUGGAGACAGCCCAAGUUGUUCUCGGAAGAGGAACUGGUUCCUUUCGCUCCAGCUGUGCUGGGGUUGCAGCCCGGGGUUAC
rnacentral:lncRNA from 1 species